rnacentral:rRNA from 1 species
AGCGACUGUUUACCAAAAACACAGGUGCAUGCCAAGACGUAAGUCGCCGUAUAUGCACUGACGCCUGCCCGGUGCCGGAAGGUUAAGAGGAUCCGUCAGCCUUUGUGGUGAAGCGGUGAAUUCAAGCCCCGGUAAACGGCGGUGGUAACUAUAACCAUCCUAAGGUAGCGAAAUUCCUUGUCGGGUAAGUUCCGACCUGCACGAAUGGCGUAACGACUUCCCCGCUGUCUCGACCAGGAGCUCGGCGAAAUUGCAGUACGAGUAAAGAUGCUCGUUAAGCGCAGAAGGACGAAAAGACCCCGGGACCUUUACUAUACCUUGGUAUUGUCGUUAGGUGUGGAUUGUGUAGCAUAGGCGGGAGACGUUGAUGCCGUGGCGCCAGCCAUGGUUGAGUCGCAAGGUGAAAUACCGCUCUGUCCAUAUUUGGCGUCUAACCUCGACGAGUGAGCCUCGUCAGGGACAGUGCCUGGCGGGUAGUUUAACUGGGGCGGUUGCCUCCCAAAGAGUAACGGAGGCGCUCAAAGGUCCGCUCAGCCCGGUUGGCAAUCGGGUGUCGAGUGCAAUCGCACAAGCGGGCUUGACUGUGAGACCGACGGGUCGAGCAGGGACGAAAGUCGGAGAUAGUGAUCCGGUGCCGGCGCACGGGCGCGGCAUCGCUCAACGGAUAAAAGGUACCCCGGGGAUAACAGGCUGAUCAUUCCCAAGAGUCCAUAUCGACGGGAUGGUUUGGCACCUCGAUGUCGGCUCGUCGCAUCCUGGGGCUGGAGCAGGUCCCAAGGGUUCGGCUGUUCGCCGAUUAAAGCGGCACGCGAGCUGGGUUCAGAACGUCGUGAGACAGUUUGGUCUCUAUCCUCUGCGCUCGUAGGAAUCCUGAGGAGGCCUGCCCAUAGUACGAGAGGACCUGGGUGGACGAACCUCUGGUAUGCCGGUCGUCACGCCAGUGGCGCGGCCGGUUGGCUACGUUCGGGAGGGAUAACCGCUGAAAGCAUCUAAGCGGGAAGCCCGCUCCAAGAUAAGGAUUCCAUACGCGCCUUCGGGCGUGUUGAAGGCCCCAUGUAGAACACGUGGUUGAUAGGCCGGGCGUGGAAGCCCCGCGAGGGGUGGAGCUGACCGGUACUAACGGCCGAACGGCAAACAUCA